UACGUAGGGUGCGAGCGUUUGUCCGGAAUUAUUGGGCGUAAAGAGCUUGUAGGCGGUUUGUCGCGUCGGGAGUGAAAACCAGGUGCUUAACACCUGGCUUGCUUUCGAUACGGGCAGACUAGAGGUAUGCAGGGGAGAACGGAAUUCCUGGUGUAGCGGUGAAAUGCGCAGAUAUCAGGAGGAACACCGGUGGCGAAGGCGGUUCUCUGGGCAUGACCUGACGCUGAGGAGCGAAAAGUGUGGGGGAGCGAACAGG
rnacentral:rRNA from 1 species